AUUAAAUAAUGAAAGUCCAUUUUAAAUAUAUGAACUGUAUUUUGAAUGCAUAUGCAUAAUAAGUUAAUGGGCCCGAAUCCAUAAAUAUUUGUAGAAUGUCGAAUUGGAAUAAGUUAGGCUUACUACGGGCUUCGGGGGCCUUAAGCCCACCCAGGUCCUAGUGCCGGUCCGGCCCACGAAAAUGGGUCGUGACAUCUGCUAAGAUCAAAUAUAUUUCUAAACAGAAUAUUUCAAUUUUCUAUAUUUUUAUUUUAUUCCUAUAAAAAUAUUAUUAUGAUGUAUUCACUUAUAUUCAUUGUUAAUGAAUUAUUAAGUUUUCAAAAAAUCAACUAGCUG
rnacentral:lncRNA from 1 species